rnacentral:rRNA from 1 species
CAAUAGCGUAUAUUUAAGUUGUUGCAGUUAAAAAGCUCGUAGUUGGAUUUCGGUUAAGAGCGACCGGUCCGCCGUUUGGUGUGCACUGGUUGGUUUUAACUUCCUGUAGAGGACGUGCUCUGGGUUUAACGACCUGGACUCGGAGUCUACGUGGUUACUUUGAAAAAAUUAGAGUGUUCAAAGCGGGCUUACGCUUGAAUAUUUCAGCAUGGAAUAACACUAUAGGACUCCUGUCCUAUUUCGUUGGUCUCGGGACGGGAGUAAUGAUUAAGAGGAACAGUUGGGGGCAUUCGUAUUUCAUUGUCAGAGGUGAAAUUCUUGGAUUUAUGAAAGACGAACUUCUGCGAAAGCAUUUGCCAAGAUGUUUUCAUUAA